rnacentral:rRNA from 1 species
GACGAACGCUGGCGGCGUGCUUAACACAUGCAAGUCGAGCGAAGCACUUUAAGUAGCUUGCUACUUAAUUUGACUGAGCGGCGAACGGGUGAGUAACACGUGGGUGAUCUGCCUGAAAGCCCGGGAUAACAGUUGGAAACGGCUGCUAAUACCGGAUAAUGUCUGUCAUUCGAUUGGCAGACCAAAGAAAUUCGCUUUCAGAUGAGCCCGCGUCCCAUUAGCUAGUUGGUGGGGUAAAGGCCUACCAAGGCGACGAUGGGUAGCCGGUCUGAGAGGAUGGUCGGCCACACUGGAACUGAGACACGGUCCAGACUCCUACGGGUGGCUG